AGAGUUUGAUCCUGGCUCAGGAUGAACGCUGGCGGCGUGCCUAAUACAUGCAAGUCGAGCGAAUAGAUUAAGAGCUUGCUCUUAUGAAGUUAGCGGCGGACGGGUGAGUAACACGUGGGUAACCUGCCUAUAAGACUGGGAUAACUCCGGGAAACCGGGGCUAAUACCGGAUAACAUUUUGAACCGCAUGGUUCGAAAUUGAAAGGCGGCUUCGGCUGUCACUUAUGGAUGGACCCGCGUCGCAUUAGCUAGUUGGUGAGGUAACGGCUCACCAAGGCAACGAUGCGUAGCCGACCUGAGAGGGUGAUCGGCCACACUGGGACUGAGACACGGCCCAGACUCCUACGGGAGGCAGCAGUAGGGAAUCUUCCGCAAUGGACGAAAGUCUGACGGAGCAACGCCGCGUGAGUGAUGAAGGCUUUCGGGUCGUAAAACUCUGUUGUUAGGGAAGAACAAGUGCUAGUUGAAUAAGCUGGCACCUUGACGGUACCUAACCAGAAAGCCACGGCUAACUACGUGCCAGCAGCCGCGGUAAUACGUAGGUGGCAAGCGUUAUCCGGAAUUAUUGGGCGUAAAGCGCGCGCAGGUGGUUUCUUAAGUCUGAUGUGAAAGCCCACGGCUCAACCGUGGAGGGUCAUUGGAAACUGGGAGACUUGAGUGCAGAAGAGGAAAGUGGAAUUCCAUGUGUAGCGGUGAAAUGCGUAGAGAUAUGGAGGAACACCAGUGGCGAAGGCGACUUUCUGGUCUGUAACUGACACUGAGGCGCGAAAGCGUGGGGAGCAAACAGGAUUAGAUACCCU
rnacentral:rRNA from 1 species